rnacentral:rRNA from 1 species
GAGGAAUAUUGGUCAAUGGGCGAGAGCCUGAACCAGCCAAGUAGCGUGCAGGAAGACGGCCCUAUGGGUUGUAAACUGCUUUUAUGUGGGGAUAAAGUGAGCUACGUGUAGUUUAUUGCAGGUACCACAUGAAUAAGGACCGGCUAAUUCCGUGCCAGCAGCCGCGGUAAUACGGAAGGUCCAGGCGUUAUCCGGAUUUAUUGGGUUUAAAGGGAGCGUAGGCCGUGGAUUAAGCGUGUUGUGAAAUGUAGACGCUCAACGUCUGAAUUGCAGCGCGAACUGGUUCACUUGAGUAUGCACAACGUAGGCGGAAUUCGUCGUGUAGCGGUGAAAUGCUUAGAUAUGACGAAGAACUCCGAUUGCGAAGGCAGCUUACGGGAGCACAACUGACGCUGAAGCUCGAAGGUGCGGGUAUCAAACAGGAUUAGAUACCCUGGUAGUCCGCACAGUAAACGAUGGAUGCCCGUUGUUAGUUCACUUAAGAAUUAGCGACCAAGCGAAAGCAUUAAGCAUCCCACCUGGGGAGUACGCCGGCAACGGUG